UUAAGUUCAGCGGGUAAUCCUGCCUGAUCUGAGGUCUAAAUGGUAGGUGACUGGGUGUUUGGAGCAUUGGACUAGUAAUCUGGCCCGGCCAUUGCAGGCAAUGUCCUCAGCGAUAUAGUCUAUUACACUGAGUCAGUCCGGGCCGAAUUAGAAAUGCUAAUGUAUUACAAACGAGCGCGGCUGGGGCACACGCACCGUCC
rnacentral:misc_RNA from 1 species